GAUGAACGCUAGCGGCAGGCCUAAUACAUGCAAGUCGAGGGGCAGCGCAGUGUAGCAAUACAUGGGCGGCGACCGGCAAACGGGUGCGGAACACGUACGCAACCUUCCUUUAACUGGGAGAUAGCCCACCGAAAGGUGGAUUAAUAUCCCAUAGUAUAUUUGAGUGGCAUCACUUAGAUAUUAAAGCUCCGGCGGUUAAAGAUGGGCGUGCGUCUGAUUAGCUAGUUGGGGGGGUAACGGCCCACCAAGCCCACGAUCAGGAGCUGAUGUGAGAGCAUGAUCAGCCACACGGGCACUGAGACACGGGCCCGACUCCUACGGGAGGCAGCAGUAAGGAAUAUUGGUCAAUGGACGCAAGUCUGAACCAGCCAUGCCGCGUGGAGGAUGAAGGUCCUCUGGAUUGUAAACUUCUUUUCUUUGGGACGAAACCCCUGUUUCUACGGGGACUGACGGUAUCAGAGGAAUAAGCACCGGCUAACUCCGUGCCAGCCGCCGCGGUAAUAC
rnacentral:rRNA from 1 species